rnacentral:rRNA from 1 species
GAAACUGGUGCUAAUACCGAAUGGUCUUAUUUUAAUGCGAGUUAAAUUGAGUAAAGGUGGCCUCUGUAUAUACUACCGUAUAGGGAUGAGCCUGCGUACCAUUAGCUAGUAGGUGGGGUAACGGCCCACCUAGGCAACGAUGGUUAGCGGGUCUGAGAGGAUGAUCCGCCACAAUGGAACUGGAACACGGACCAGACUCCUACGGGAGGCAGCAGUGAGGAAUAUUGCGCAAUGGGGGCAACCCUGACGCAGCGACGCCGCGUGAGUGAGGAAGGUUUUCGGAUCGUAAAGCUCUGUCAGAAGGGAAGAAAUGCUAUGUAGUUAAUACCUGCAUAGUUUGACGGUACCUUCAGAGGAAGCACCGGCUAACUCCGUGCCAGCAGCCGCGGUAAUACGGAGGGUGCAAGCGUUGUUCGGAAUUACUGGGCGUAAGGGCGCGUAGGCGGCUUUUAUANGUCAGAUGUGAAAGUCCACGGCUCAACCGUGGAAGUGCAUUUUAAACUGUGAGGCUUGGAU